rnacentral:rRNA from 1 species
UACGAAGGGGGCUAGCGUUGCUCGGAAUCACUGGGCGUAAAGCGCACGUAGGCGGAUUGUUAAGUCAGGGGUGAAAUCCUGGAGCUCAACUCCAGAACUGCCUUUGAUACUGUCGAGCUCGAGGGAGGUAGGGGUCUGUGGAACUUCCGGUGGAGCGGUGAAAUGCGUUGAUAUCGGAAGGAACGCCGGUGGCGAAAGCGAACGGACUGGAUCUCUUCUGACGCUGAGGCGCGAAAGCCAGGGGAGCA